rnacentral:rRNA from 1 species
UACGUAGGAUGCGAGCGUUGUCCGGAAUUAUUGGGCGUAAAGAGAACGUAGGCGGUUUCUUAAGUUUGGUCUUAAAGACCCGGGGCUCAACCCCGGGAAUGGAUCGAAAACUGGGAGACUGGAGGAUGUCAGAGGAAAGUGGAAUUCCGAGUGUAGCGGUGAAAUGCGUAGAUAUUCGGAGGAACACCAGUGGCGAAAGCGACUUUCUGGGGCAUUCCUGACGCUGAGGUUCGAAAGCUCGGGGAGCAAACAGG